CAGACUGUGUGCCUGGGUGCCGUGCCCAUGGGCUCCGCCUCCCCCAGGCAGGCCCCCUCUUGCUCCGCGGCCACCCCUGCUCCUGACCUCACACCUCUGCGGCGUGGUCUGCGGGCCCAGCAUUCACACUGGUCGCCGUGACUUGACUCCCAUGCGCCCUGGCCCUGGGGUUGGGUCUGCAGGACUGAGAACCAGCGGAAGGGGGGCGAGGCCUCGGGAAUGCGCCGGCAACUCGCGAUGAGCUCAGGCCUGACUGAUGAGCCCAGGUGAUUCAUACACCCGGGGCCUGGAUGAGUCUGACUGGGUCAGGCACUUCCCUGCUUGUUCUGUCCUGGGAGAUGUUGUCCCUGGCCCUGCAGAGCCGGGAGGACACGAGGCCUCCUGGGUCACAGCCAAGGCAGCCGACUCCUGCCCACUGCUCGCACCGGCCAAGGCCCAUCGGCACCACCUCCUCCAUGAAGCCUUCCUGACUGCCCCCAUCCCUCUGUGGGCAGCUCGAGUGUGCAUCUUGAGUGCUGUGCAGGGUGGCGUCCGGCGCUCCUGCGGGCAGGCGGCAUCUGGGCCUGGGGGCUCUCGGAGUUUGAGGAGCGUGUGGUGAGGGUGGCCUCGGGCCUCAAAGACGCAGCGCUGUGGGAACCGGGAGACUGGCUGAGCCCGCUCUGAGGAAGGUGGGGCCAGGGGCACCCUCAGCUGACCUGGCGUGCAGGGGUGACCAGCCAGGCGUGGCCAAGGAUGGGGUCUCUGGGGUCAGGAGACUUCAGUAGCAGCCAGAACCGAGGCCACGAGUUUCCACCCUGGCAUUUUCCAUCUUUUGAAGAACUGGAAACGAUUGGAUUCUUUAACUUUUUAAAGUUGAGGUGAAAUUCACAACGCAUAAAAUUAACCAUCUUAAAGCAAACAAUUCGGUGACAUUUAG
rnacentral:lncRNA from 1 species